rnacentral:lncRNA from 1 species
AUGUAUGUUGUGGCUCCCUCGGUGGCGCCCUGGCCUGUGGAGCUAUGUGUUCAAACCCCCUGUGGCCCUUUGCGUGAUCCCCUUGGUGCAUUGCUGCCCUGCCAGAAGGGCUGUUUCUGGGGGGGGGGGGGGGUGAAUGUAAUACCCAAACCAGCCCCUUGCUCGUUUGGCCUGAAAGAGGCUCAGGUGCAAAUUAAAGCUUGCAAAAUCAAGAAAUCAAGGGAGAGUGGGACCUUUGGUCAUAUACCACAGGUUUUGCUGUCCCAGGAUGUGUGCAUGAGUCACUGUCUGGAAAUCCAAGUGGCCAGAUGUCCGCCAGAUACUGCUGCACUCAAGCUGCUAACUCCAGCAGGAAGGGCGAGGGGAAGGGGGCUGCUUUUUUCCCCCGAGGUGGCAGGCAGCUCUGUCCAUCUGAAGGCUUUGCACUUUCAGGGCGUUGGUGGGAUAUUUGGGACAGCUCAAGUCCUUCAUGAAAGGAAGAACAAAUAUGUUCUGGGAGGCAAACAACGGAGGUGA